GUGUUACCCAGGCCGGAGUGCAGUGACUACUUACAGGCACGAUCAUAGUGCACUAGAGCCUUGAACUCCCGGGCUCCAGUAUUACUCCUGCCUCAGCCUCCUGAGUAUCUGGGACUAUAGGAGUGCACCACCAUUCCUGGCAUAAUCCUCUUUUUAUGUUGAGUUGAAGAAAGUCACAAGACGUGAGACGCUUUAUGUUGCAGUUAAUGGUCUCUUCCUCCCUUUUCUCUGUUCCUGCAAAUGGACAAUUAUUCCUUCUCACAAGGUUUUUGGCUUCCCACUUCAGCAUGCCUCCAGCAGUGUUCUAAAAUUACUCUACAAUUGCCAAAGUAAGAGCAGCAGAUGCUCUAAAUCUAUUUCCAGGACACCCGUCUCAUGAUCAAGGACAAAUGGGGUCCAAACUCCUUGGCUGCCAGAUGAGCAAAACUGGAGUAAAGAUGCUGCGCAAAAGGCCAAAAUGAUGUCAAAGCAGUGUAAACUGAUACAGAUCAAAGAACAGGAGUGGAAAAUUGCAAGCAGGGAUAUGUAGCGGCUCUGUAUGGCCCAAUGUGCUCAAAACUCUCCAGAGGUUGUUAAUUUCCUGGCAAGAUGAGGUUACAUCAUACAGUCUGUAUUUGCAUAUGUACCCAUACUUGACAGUGAAAUAUGGUCUAAUACACAGGUUUUAUUAUUAUUAUUAUUUAAUUUGAAUAUUCACAUUUAUAGGUUCCAAAUUCAGGUCACCAAGGAUAAGGGAAUCAAAGCUCUAAAAAUUAUAGAAUAUUUGAGCAAUGCAAUAAUGACUGGACAGGCAGCUAGAUGCUUAGAUGGUUUCCACUCAAUGCAGUUGUCUCAGCUACCCACAAUAUAUUACCGCUAGGAUUUCUUUAGCUUUAGGAAUUGUCGAUAGGCAAUUCUUCUGAUCUGCCCAUAAGAACAUUUUUAAGGGGUCAAAGGUGAGCCCAUCUCAUGGCAAUACGAUAACCAUGUAAAUUAGGUUCACUGCUAGUUUUCAGAAAAGCCAUUAGUACUUUCUACACAAGUGGAUAUUAAAAAUAUCUACAAGAAUAUUUUAUUAUAAAAUAAUAAAAAGUACUAAUGGGACUUCUAUAUCUAUAGAUUAUUGGUAAUCUUUGAGCAAUAUCAUUGACAAAUUAAUUUUCAGUAGCAAAACUGAAUAAAACUAAGCUCUUUUAGCUAUUCUCCAAAACUCUUAUGACAAAAGGAUUCCACCAUAUUGUACGCUUUAGCAUUUGUAACUCGUCAAGAAUUGUUUUUAUUUCUCAAGUGUACUACUUGUAUAUAGACACAUAUAUGACCUUAUUUUAUCACACAUCCACCUUAAAAAUACAUAGCAAGUAAAAGUAGCUCUUAAAGAAAGUAGCUCUUAAAAGUAGCUCUUUAGAAAGCAACAUUGGGUGCAGGAACUAAGAGGACUGGCUGGUGCUUUUCAUCAGUAGUAGGUGGUGGUGGCUAAGGUUUCCACUGUGGGCACAGCCCAACACAGCCCUAUCAAACUGACUCUGCAGAUCACCAAAUGGCUAACAUUACACUGAAAAGUGUAGGGAAAAUAUUGAUUUGUUUAUUUUCUAUGAAUUGAGCUAACUUUCCUCACUAGUCUUGUUGUUAAAUAGUGGAGAAAAAAAAUUUGAAAAAAAAAUAAAAUAAAUUUGAAUUCAAUGGAGCAAAUUUGGUCUAAUGCAGUACAAUACUUUUUAAAAUCUGUCUUUGCAAAUUAAAAUAAAAUACUGUUAUCUUG
rnacentral:lncRNA from 10 species